GGCAUUGUCCGCGACGCAGCUCGGGAUCCGGGUCGGGGUGUCGGCCGGGUUGCUGCCGGGCACCGUCGAGCGUUAGCCACCCAGCAUUGAGCUGCCAGCGGCUGUUCUCCCUAAGCACCCUCGCUCACGUCGCCUCGCCUCGCCUCGCCUGACCGGCCGCAGCCUUGGAUACCAGCCUUAAAUCGAGCCGACUACGGCCCAGCCCCGCCCGCGGCGAGGUGCGCGGGGUUCGGUGCCAGCCGCUCGCCCCUGGCGGGGCCAGCCUCUUGAUGCACCGGGGACGGGCGCCCCCAUCCGACUCUUCGAGGGGCGGCAGGGCCCCAUCUGUGUCUUUCGCUCUCGAGCCCCCAGCUAGAGUUGGCUUCAGCGGAAUACCUACUGUGCGGGAUUAUUCAACAAGCCGAUUGAUCACAUUCUUCAGCUCUAGCAGUGCAAAGGCUUCACUGAAAAAGAACAUUACAAAUUUUUUUUGAAAGAAAUUUGGGGGAAUCCACUGAAGACCUACAUUUCCCGGAAGGUUAACAGCCCCCUUCUCAGUUUUCCUGAUAUAAAUUUAAUUCACAGUUGGGCAGGGCAUGGUGCCUCACACCUAUAAUCCGAGCACUUUGGGAGCCCGAGGCACGCGGAUCACCUGAGGUUAGGAGUUCAAGACCAGCCUGGGCAACAUGGUGAAACCCCGUCUCUACUAAAAAUACAAAAAUUACUACUCGGGAGGCUGAGGUAGGAGAGUCGCUUGAACCCGGGAGACAGAGGUUUCAGUGAGCCCAGAUCGCGCCACCAUACUCCAGCCUGGGCAACAGAGCGAUGCUCCAUCUUAAAAAAAAAAAAAAUCAAAAUAAAAUACAAUAAAAAAUAAAAAUAAAAUUUAAUUCACAGUUGUAACCAGCCUAAAUUAAAAAUAUUUCUUAAGAAAAA
rnacentral:lncRNA from 1 species